GCUUCGGGAACCCCUGGGGUGGGUUUGCGCCGGCUCCCCGGCGGGUGACCUCGGACAUUCCUCCCCGGGGUCGGCUAAGGGCAUGACAUCACCGGGCCAGCCUCCCAUUGGCUGCCGCAGCCGCAGGUGGGAGCGGCCAGGCCGGGCGCCCCCCGGCUGCUCUGUGAGCGGCCGGAGCCGCCGCCCCGCCCCGCCCUCUAGGGGGUCGCCCGUGGGAAAGUGCGGCCCCGGCGGCGGUGGCGUCUCACGCUCGAGAUACCAAAUGGAAUAUCUUCCUGAUGAUUUGCUGCUUGGCUAUCUUCUCUGCAAGGCUGGUAGAAUUUGGAGAGCUGUGGCUUUAUGUGGCUGUUGAAGAUGAGGAUUGCUUUGAUCAUGGCUGAGCUGGGUGGGCCAGGUGCAACCAUGUGACUUGCUUUGGAUAGCAAAACAUGGAUGGGAGGGACGCACGUUAUCUCUGGAAAGCAGCUUAAACAGCCAGCUUGAGGUUUUGCCAACUAUCAUUUCCUGCUAUCAUGAAACUGAUAAUGUCCCAGCUAGAGGCUGCUUCAUCAACCUGAGUACUCAAAUAAAGAUGAAAUAGAGGACAGCACAGACGUUGAAAUGAGCAAGUACUAUAAGUGAGAAAUAAUCCUUUGUAUUAUAAGCCACUGAGCUUUAAGAUUGUUGAUUAUCUCAGCAUAACAUAAUAUCUCCUGACUGACAUACCAACACCACUAUCACUGGUUUCCACUUGCCUUACACACAGUUACUCAUCUGUCAUCAUGCAAAACAAUAUUGCCCAAUCCCACCAACCAUAACUUCAGAGACAAC